UGAAAAGGGCUGAAUAUUGUGGGAGAUCAAGAUUUGGCCACCCUGAAAUCUAUCUCUUUACCUUGGUUGUUUUCUCUAGGGACAUUUGACCUCCCCCACUAACUGCCUAAAGAAUUUGACAUAGUAACUCCUUCCUGGAACAGAUCUAUCUUGAUGGCUGUAAAGAUAAUGUAGGAUAAAUGUUACAAUAGGAAAGGCACCAACAAGCCCAUCUUAUCGGAAGUUCUGUCUCUCUGGCCACAUUCUCUGGAUGGCCCUGCAAGGAGUUGCCAGACAAACAUUUACAUUUAUAAGGGAAUCUCCAUUUGUAAAGGUGUGUGGCACACGUGGAGAACUGUUCAGAUGGGAGUGACUCUGUGAGAGAGGGAGGCGCAUCCCUCAGCCUCCACCCAAGAUGGCUGUGUGGCCACGUCUGCUUUUCUGAGGUCAAGGUAGCCCUGCUGGAGCGGGGCAGCACACCUGGUGUGGAGGCUGACACGCAGGCGGUUCCCAGCUCUCUGGAGCGCAGUGUCCCACAGCUAAAACCCUGGCUCUGUUUUGGAAGGACACCAAGUUAAUUCUAGGGAUGCUGCAGCAGCUUGGAAAGACUAAGAGUGAUGACGUUGUGCAGGCUCUUAGAAGAGCCCGUUACUUUACCCAGCCUACUUCCCCCCCGCGACCUACUUUCCCUGGUGUCCUCUUGGAGCUCAGCAGGCCUUGUUUUCUUCCGUGAGGCUGCCAUUCCCUUACAUCUUUCCAAAUGGUGGUGUUCUCCCUCUUGCUCAGCGUGUAGCUGUGUGCCUGAUUGUACCGGCUCAAAGUCCACUGGGGACCAUGUUUCCAGCCUGAGUCUCCUUAACAGUGGAAUUUGUUAUUUGCCCUUUUUUAUAAGGGCUGCUAUGCGUAGUUAGCAGUAUCCUGAAUUUUUCAAAACACUCCCUCCUAUGUAAAGAUUGCUUUUAAAGUGA